GCCAGGUAUGGUGGCACAUGCCUGUAAUCCCAGCAACUUGGGAGGUUGAAGCAGGAGAAUCAAAAGUUCAAGGCCAGCCUCAGCAAUUUAACAAGGCCCUAAGAAACUUAGUGAGACCCAGUCUCAA
rnacentral:sRNA from 1 species